CUCAGCUCACUUGGUCAAAUAUUUGGUGGCUACUACUAUAUGUUUUAUAACACUACUAGAAUUAGGAUAAAUCUCUUCAAUUGAAUCAAUUCCUUAUUUUUCAAGAGGAACUAAAAAUAAAGAUACAUAGAAAAAGAGUUUCAUUUUUAAGUCAUUUCUAGCAUGUUCUUGGUAUGCAUCACAUAUUUUUAUACAUCUAUAGGCAUCUUUGAAUAAAAUAGGCUAAUAAUAGCUAAAUUUAAUAAU
rnacentral:lncRNA from 1 species